UUUAAAUACAUGCUUUUGUAGGCGUUUUGAACUUGAGUUAUAAAUCUAAUUGAAUUUUAUUCAUAUGAUAAAGCUAGCCAGUGAAUGGUCUACAGAAAGAUUGAGAUUCGAAAUCUUAAAAAAACACAAAAUAUUAAAAAUAACUGAAAAAUUCUAGUGAUAAAAAAAUAAAUAAACAAAAAUAAUAAAUACAAACCAAAUAAAAAUCAUAUUCCAACUAAAGAAAAUAACCAAAUGGAAUGAAAAUUGUAAAAAAAUUUAACCACAUUUGAGCAAAAAUUUAAAUUAUCAAAAUUUUCCCACCAACAAUAACAACAAUGACUAAUAUAAUGUACGAUACAACAGCGGCAAUUAAUAACAGUGAGUUCGAUAAUUCAACGUACAUGUAUGCUGAGGCUACUGAAAAAACUAUUUAUGAAACUGGUUAUGAUUUUGAACAGUCCAUCUUUGGACCAAAACGUGAUUCAUUGAAAAUUGUCAUACCGGUGACCGUUAUUUAUGUGUUAAUCUUUAUAACGGGCGUUAUAGGCAACAUUAGCACGUGUAUAGUGAUAAAAAAGAAUCGUUCCAUGCAUACAGCCACAAAUUAUUAUCUCUUCAGUUUGGCCAUUUCGGAUUUUAUGCUACUGUUAUCGGGUGUACCGCAAGAAGUCUAUAUGACUUGGUAUAAAUAUCCUUACCCCUUUGGUGAAUACUUUUGUGUGGGUCGUGGUAUAGUGGCGGAAACUUCUGCUAAUGCUACCGUUUUAACCAUAACUGCUUUUACUGUAGAACGUUAUGUGGCCAUAUGUCACCCGUUUUUUGGUCAGGCCAUUUCAAAAUUAAGUCGUGCCAUUCGUAUAAUCAUAAUAAUUUGGUUACUCUCCAUACUUACGGCCAUACCGCAAGCUCUACAAUUUAGAAUUGUUUCUAUACAGGGUGUGGAAAAUUGUGUACUGGCUAAUGUUAUUAUCAAGCAUUCUUUUCAAUUGUCCACCUAUAUAUUCUUCUUUGCGCCCAUGUCUAUAAUUUUCGUGUUGUAUCUUUUAAUCGGUGUACGUUUGUAUCGUUCAAAUGUUAUUGACGGCAGUAGCAGUGGCGGUGGCGGUGGUCAUAACAAUUCAAAUUCCAAGGAUUUGCAUCGUUUCCGCAAUGAUUUGCCUAUUGGUUUGAAUAGUUCAAAUUCUCAUGUACGUCGUGGCCGUUUGGGUAUGAAAAGUACUCAAAGUGAUACGAUUUUAUAUCGUUAUUCCGGCGGUACGCAAGUCAGUGCUGUGCGUGGACGUAUUAAUCAAUUUGGCACGAAGCGAGUAUUGAAAAUGCUGGUGGCCGUAGUCAUCUGUUUCUUCUUGUGUUGGGCACCAUUUCAUGCACAGCGUCUUAUAGCAGUCUACGGUAGUAGUGGAUUAAUUGCUGGUGGAGAAGAAAGUACUGGCACGAGUGUGGAUGAUGAUGGUGACUCUGCAAUUUAUGAUUUUUCUCUGACAACUGAACAAAUAUUUGCAGCAACAGAAACUACAAUUGCAGCAACUGAUCUAAAUCAUCUUCAUCGUAAUUCUUCCAACAAUAAUAAACAACGUGAACAGCAUACAAAAGUCUAUACAGUAAUGACGUACAUAUCAGGUGUUUUAUAUUAUUUAUCCACCUGUAUUAACCCAUUACUAUACAAUCUCAUGAGUAAUAAAUUUCGUCAGGCUUUUAAGCAUUUAAUAUUGUGUCCUUCCAGUCCAUACUCUUUGGUAAGAAAUCCUCAAAUGCACGUAGAUCACAAAACUCCCAACGUAGCAUGAGUCGUAAGCCCACCACGAAUUCAUCAUCCAUACAUCGGGGUUCCAGUGAAUCGGAAAUGCAAUCAAAGGUCUCUUUAUUACAGACUAUUUCAAAUGAACGAAAAUUUACUCCUCAAAUGAUUCCAUAAGUUUUUAUUUGUUUAUAAGCUGAUUUUUUAUAUGUAUUUAAAAGAGAAUAUUUAUAUGUUCUUGUAAUAGUUUUUAAAUAUUUAAUUUAAGUUUAUUAAGUCUAAGAUAUAUUUAAUUUUAUUAUGUCACAUAUAAUUUAUUUACAUAGAAAGUUAUAGACUCUGUAUCUGAUUUUUACUAAACAUUAAGGAUUUGUUCAUAGUGUGUUGUCAUCAAGUGGUACAAAUUAGCUAUGAUUCGUACUAGAAAACGAAAAUCAUAUUUGAAUUAUUAAUAAGUAUAUUGCAUUCUUAUUGUUAAAUAUUUUUAUAUUAUUUAUGGCUAACAAAUUUUUAACCCAGAGUCCUAAAUACAAUUUCCUAAAAGAUUGAGCACCGCAUAAUCCGAAUCUGGUCUCUCUAUCACAUCUAGUUUUUGUAAUAUCGUGCCCUAAAAAUUGAAAAAUUCAGGUUGUUGGCUAUAUUUGAGUCGUUUUAACGGCACCUUUAUUGAUAAUAUCUGAUAUGUAAUCUAAAAGUUCUGUCUAUCGACUUAAAAAUAAAGGUUUAACAUCUGUUCUACCUUCAUCCCUUUUCGAUAUAUCUUAACCUAUGGUUUGGAACAACCACAAAAUUAAAUAAUCUAAUUUUUAACUUCAUUUCGCUUUUAUUAUAUGAAAAAAUCUCUGGUAUUUGCAGAGAUAUCGUCCGAAGAAGUUUUUGCCAUUAAGCAAAGGGAAUAUCGAAUAUUUUGGAAAGUUGUUUUAGUUAAGAUAUGUAUCUCGAAGAAUAAUGAAGAUAUGACAGAGAUUGAACUUUUAUUUUAAUGUAAACAGAUUGAGCUUUCAGACGACAUAACUGAUUUUAUAAAUAAAGAUGUCUUCCCGCUUUUAGGUAUCAACUAUGGCCCAAAACUGGGGGUUUUCAGUUUUUAGGAUACGAUAUCUCAAGAACCUAAUGCAAUGGAUGAUUUAGCGAUGCAAAUUGGUCUCUGGGUUUCAACUUAUUUCAAAUAUUGUUUUUUUUUCUUAAUUUUGUUGACCUGUGUUAUCGGACCUUAAAAAUAAAUCUUCAUUAUUAAGUUUAAGAUUGAGAAAAUAGCCCCGAUGUGAAUCAUUUUCAAUAGGCUUCGUCUCCGGUACCAUAGAAUAUCAUGUGUCAAAUUUCAUUGAAUUAUCUUCAAAAUUGCGACCUGUAGUUUGAUUACAAGGUUUACAUGGACGGA